rnacentral:tRNA from 1 species
GGCCGGCUAGCUCAGUCGGUAGAGCACGAGACUCUUAAUCUCGGGGUCGUGAGUCGGGGCCCACGUUGGUAG